rnacentral:rRNA from 1 species
UGGGGAAUUUUGGACAAUGGGCGCAAGCCUGAUCCAGCCAUGCCGCGUGCAGGAUGAAGGCCCUCGGGUUGUAAACUGCUUUUGUACGGAACGAAAAGCCUCUUUCUAAUAAAGAGGGGUGAUGACGGUACCGUAAGAAUAAGCACCGGCUAACUACGUGCCAGCAGCCGCGGUAAUACGUAGGACCCAAGCGUUGUCCGGAUUUACUGGGAGUAAAGGGUGCGCAGGCGGAUGGGUAAGUCAGGGGUGAAAGUCUGCAGCUUAACUGUAGAAUUGCCUUUGAUACUGCUCAUCUUGAGUGUGGGAGAGGUUGAUGGAAUUCCAGGUGUAGCAGUGAAAUGCGUAGAUAUCUGGAAGAACACCAGUGGCGAAGGCGGUCAACUGGACCAUAACUGACGCUCAUGCACGAAAGCGUGGGGAGCAAACA